GGGCGAAUAGCUCAGCUGGGAGAGCUCCGGCCUUACAAGCCGGCGGUCACAGGUUCGAUCCCUGUUUCGCCCACCA
rnacentral:tRNA from 1 species